rnacentral:rRNA from 1 species
ACGUAGGAGGCGAGCGUUAUCCGGAUUUACUGGGCGUGAAGCGCGUGCAGGCGGUGCGAUAAGUCGUGCGUGAAAGCUCCCAGGCUUAACCGGGAGAGGACGUGCGAGACUGUCGGACUAGAGGCAGGUAGAGGCAAGUGGAAUUCCGGGUGGAGUGGUGGAAUGCGUAGAGAUCCGGAGGAACCCCAGUGGCGUAGGCGACCUGCUCGGCCUUGCCUGACGCUCAGACGCGAAAGCAUGGGGAGCGAACGG